rnacentral:rRNA from 1 species
GAUUAACGCUGGCGGCGUGCAUAACACAUGCCAGUCGAACGAUGAAACUUAGUACGCUUCUUCGGAACGACAUUGAGCGGCUUAGUGGCGAACGGGUGAGUACCGCGUGAGUAACCUGCCUUACACACGGGGAUAGCCUUUGGAAACGAGAAAUAAUACCCUAUAAAACCAUAAAAGCACAUGCUAGAAUGGUCAAAGUGCUAGCGGUGUAAGAUGCACUUGCGUCUGAUUAGCUAGUUGGUGAGAUAAAAGCUCACCAAGGCAACGAUCAGUAGCCGGCUUGGGAGAGUGUACGACCACAUUGGGACAGGCACACGUCCCAGACUCCUACGGGAGGCAGCAGUGGGGAAGUAUGCACAAUGGGGGAAACCCGGAGGCAGCGACGCCGCAUGAUUUAGAAGGCCUUCAGGUUGUAAAAUGCUUUUGUAUAGGAAGAAAAUGACAGUACUAUACGAAUAAGGUCCGGCUAAUUACGUG